UGGGGAAGCUACUCUGGACAGCCGGACAAUAAAAACUGUCUCAUAAAAGCGGGACUGUUGGAUGGUAAAUUAAAAGCCAUGAAGUGUACCCUAAGAACAUGUGUUACAUGUCUGUAAUUCCUGUUAGCGCAAUAGUAACUUGAAACAGAAAAUAGUUUUAAAAAAUCUGUAAAACGAGUAUAGCUACAUUAUCACACAUCAUUAUAAGUAAAUGGUUAGUAUUUCUGAUCACUUAGUGAAGAAAUGGACAAGGUGAUAAGACUGGAAAAGGGUUACAUAUAGGGAACCCAAACUCACAUGUUAUAAAGCGGGAUGUGGAGGCACUGUCCUGCACAACCACUCUCUAGAGAUGUAAUGAAAAGUCGUCAAAAGCAGGCUAUAUUCUCCAGUUGUGGUAAAUUAGUAUAUGCUUUUAUUCUGACAUUAAAACGUGAGUAACUUAUGCCGAAAAGACUAAAGCGAUGUUAUUUGCAAUGGCUCAGCCUAUAACGUAAUGUAUUUCAUGCAAGACAAGCACGGUGUUUGUGCAUAAAGAACUGAUGUUGAAGUCAUUGGUCAUUGUUUUCACAUCAGAAAAUGAAAUCACAGCAUUAUUUUGUAGCCAUGUUCUGUUAUAAACUGUUAUAAAAAAAAGAGCACCAACAGGAACCAAUACUUAUUAUACCUCAUACUCAA